rnacentral:rRNA from 1 species
GAUGAACGCUAGCGGCAGGCUUAAUACAUGCAAGUUGAGGGGCAGCAUGAUAUACGCGAGUAUAUUGAUGGCGACCGGCGGACGGGUGAGUAAUAGGUAGGAGACCUACCUCAUACAGGGGGAUAGCAUAGAGAAAUCUGUGGUAAUACCCCAUGAGGUUAUAUGAAUAGAGGCAUAUAAUCAAAGCAUAAGCGAUUAUGCGGUAUGAGAGGGGCCUACUGACCAUUAGCUAGUUGGUGAGGUAAGGGCUCACCAAGGCGAAGAUGGUUAGGGGUUUUGAGAGAGAGACCCCCCACAUUGGAACUGAGAGACGGUCCAGACUCCUACGGGAGGCAGCAGUAGGGAAUAUUGGGCAAUGGGCGAAAGCCCUGACCCAGCCAUGCCGCGUGAAGGAAGACGGCCUUAUGGGUUGUAAACUUCUUUACUACGCGAAUAGAGGUUAGUACGAGAUACUAAUAGGAAGGUAGUGUAGUAAAAGCACCGGCUAACUCCGUGCC